rnacentral:rRNA from 1 species
GGUAGGAACAUGUGGUUUAAUUCGAUGAUACGCGAGGAACCUUACCCGGGCUUGAAUUGCGAGAGGUAAGGAGUUUGGAGACAAUGACGCCCUUCGGGGCCUCUGUGAAGGUGCUGCAUGGUUGUCGUCAGCUCGUGCCGUGAGGUGUCGGCUUAAGUGCCAUAACGAGCGCAACCCCUCUCCUUAGUUGCCAUCAGGUAAAGCUGGGCACUCUGGGGACACUGCCACCGUAAGGUGUGA